rnacentral:rRNA from 1 species
UACAGAGGGGGCAAGCGUUGUUCGGAAUUACUGGGCGUAAAGGGCGCGUAGGCGGCCCUCUAAGUCAGACGUGAAAUCCCUCGGCUCAACCGGGGAACUGCGUCUGAGACUGGAAGGCUUGAAUUCGGGAGAGGGAUGUGGAAUUCCAGGUGUAGCGGUGAAAUGCGUAGAUAUCUGGAGGAACACCGGUGGCGAAGGCGGCAUCCUGGACCGAGAUUGACGCUGAUGCGCGAAAGCCAGGGUAGCAAACGGG